UGCACACAUUUCAGUUACCUAAAUGGCAGAUGGCUGGUCAUUUGACAUUUGGCAAUAAAGUAAUGGGGGCAUGAAAAGCCCCAUUUUCUCAAGGCAACAGAAACAUUAAAUAUUGAGACUCACAUAGGGCCUGUCUAUAUAUACAUUCAGUAAGAUCUAAACAUUUCUUGUUCCUUUAAUAGGUAAAUAAAUCGGAAUUCGAUUAGAAGAAUUACGUUGGCCAAAAACAAGUACAUGGCCAGUAUUAUUCUUGUUGCCAUAAAAAUUAACUAUGCAUUCAGAAUAAUUAUUUGGUCUCCAAAUAUAAAACAGGUGCUAAAAUGCAAUGCAUGAUAUUCAAUGAGUUAGACCAAGAAUAGGGUCUAGAAAAUGUAUGUCUUCUAUAGAAAGUGGCAGCAAAUGUUCAGACUUUGAGAUGCCAACUCUUCUGAUCUGUGAAAUCAAGGGCUCAUAGGUGGAAGGGACUUGCCUUGUCUCAAAUGAGACUUUGGGUGGUGGACUUUUGAGUUAAUGCUGGAAUGAGUUAAGACUUUGGGGGGCUGUUGGGAAGAUGUGAUUAUAUUUUGCAAUGUGAGAAGAACCUGAGAUUUGGGAGGGGCUGGGGUGAAAUAAUGUGGUUUGUAUCUGUGCCCCUACUCAAAUUUCAUGUCCAAUUGUAAUCCUCAGUGUGGAGGUGGGGCCUGGCGGAAGGUGAUUAGGUCAUGAGGACAGUUUUGAAUGGUUUAAAACCAUACCCCUUGGUUCUGUUCUCAUGAUAUUAAGUGAGUUCUCAAUAGAUAUGGUUGAUUAAAAGUGUGUAGCACCUCCCCCUCUCUUCCUCCUAUUUCAACCAUGGAAGACAUGGCUACUUCUCAUUCACCUUCCACUAUGAUUGAAGGUUUUCUGAGGUCAGCCCAAAGUUAUCAUGCUUCCUGUAUGGCAUGUGGAAUCAUGAUCCAAUUAAAUCUCUACUCUUUAUAAAUUACCCAGUCCUAGGUAUUUCUUUAUAGUGCAUGAGAACAGACAAUAUAUCCCACUUUUAAUAAUAGAUGGAGAAAUAAUCAAUAGGGAAAUAGACUUAAAUAACACUAAUCAACUAUAUUUGAUAGGCAUGCAUAGAAAAAUCACCAAACAGUAGCAAAAUACUUAUUCUUGUCAUUCAUAGGUGGAACAUUCUUCAGAGUAAAAUUAGGCUUGACAUAAAAGAAAUCAUACAUUUAAUAUGAUUGAAAUCAUACAAAGUAUGUUCUUUGAUCAAAUUGAAUUUAAUUAUAAAUUUAAAUUAUGUUUGUUUGAAAAUAUUAACAGAAGGAAAUUUGAGAAUUCACAAUUAUGUGAGUAUAAACAACACAUUUUUAUUUUUACUAUUUUUUAACUUCUAUGUUAGGUUCAGGGGUCCAUGUUCAGGUUUCUUAAAUAGAUAGAUAAAUUACAUGUUGCAGCAGCUUGUUGUACAGAUUAUUUUAUCAGUCAGGUAAUAAGCAUAUUACCCAAUAGGUAGUUUUUUUAUCCUCACCCUUCUUCUACCUUCCUCUGUCAAAUAGUCCCCAGUGACUCUUAUUCCCUUUGUUGUAUCCAUACUGAUAUAGUUUGGGUCUGUGUCCCCACCCAAAUGUAAUCUUGAAUUGUAUUUCCCAUAAUCCCAUGUGUCAAGGGUGGGACAAGAUGGAGGUAAUUGAAUCAUGGGCAUAGUUUUCCCCAUGCUGUUCUUGUGUUAAUGAGUGAGUCUAAUGAGAUCUGAUGGUUUUAUAAGUAUCUGGUAUUUCUCCUGCUUGCAGCCAUUCUCUUCUGCCACUCUCUAAAUAGGUGCUUUCUUCCAUAAUUUCCUGAGGCCUGCCAAGCCAUGGGGAACUGUGAGUCAAUUAAACCUCUUUUCUUUAUAAAUUACCCAGUCUCAUAGCACCAUGAGAAUGAACUAGUAUACAUAUGUACUCAGUAUUUAGCUUUCACUUAUAAGUGAAAACAUACGGUAUUUGGUUUUCUGUUCCCCUUUUAUUCACUUAGGAUAAUGGCCUCCAUCUCCUUCCACGUUGCUGCAAGAAAAAUAAUCUCAUUCUUUGUUAUUGUUGCAUAGUAUUCCAUGGUGUAUAUGUACUACAUUUUCUUUAUCCAGUCUACCAUUGAUCAGCAUAUAGGUUGAUUCCAUGUAUUUGCUAUUGUGAACAGUGCUGCAAUGAACAUAUGCUUGCAUCUUUCUUUUUUAAAUUAUACAUUAGGUUCUAGGGUACAUGUGCACAACGUGCAGGUUUGUUACAUAUGUAUACAUGUGCCAUGUUGGUUUGCUGCACCCAUUAACUCAUCAUUUACAGUAGGUAUUUAUCCUAAUGCUAUCCCUCCCCCAUUCCCCACCCCAUGACAGGCCCUGGUGUGUGAUAUUCCCUGCCCUGUGUCCAAGUGUUCUCGUUGUUCAAUUUCCACUUAUGAGUGAGAACAUGUGGUGUAAUGGGAUAACCAUCUCCACUUGCCCACUUAUACUACCCUUCCUUAGCAUCCUUAAUGCUUUUUUGUUACAAGUAAAUUUUUCCCAUUUUAAUGUCAUGAAAAUUUAGCCUUGCAUUUUCUAUAAGUUCUUUUUUUUUAAUUUUAAUUCUAGGUGUAUGGUUUGUGUCAGGAUAGGUUUAUUUUGUAUAUAUAAAUAUAUAUACCAAAAACUUGUUUUAUCAGCAAUUUGUUGGAAACACUUAUCCAUUGAAUUGUAUUGGUUCAUAUAUAAAUUUGAGGACAAAUUAUGUAAU